AUCUGACCCUACAAUCAUUGACUAGUAGGUGGGCUGAGGAGGGGCUAAGUAGGUACUUAAGAAACGAUCCUGGUUGGAUCAGGCUCUCUUUUUGCUCCUGCUCUGUUGCUCUGGCCUUCCUGCUUGGCCUUGCUGUGAUGGCCUCUUAAUAAAGCUCCAGUGUUGUCACCUCCUGAUGGGCUCGUCUCUGUGUGUGUAUCCGAGUAGGCUCCGAAGACUGGUAUGAUUAACAAGGAACUGAUUGAGCUACUGACCCAUGACAUCAGCAACCUGCAAAGAGGUUUGUGAGCUGCAUCUAUGAGCUGCAAGAGGGUGUUCUCACGGGAAGGUCGGGAGAACAACUUUUCUGCAUGGCUGAGGAGAGUGGACACAAGAAGGAGGAUCUCUGCAGGAGGAGAG